GAUGAAGAACGCAGCGAAAUGCGAUAAGUAAUGAGAAUUGCAGAAUUCAGUGGAUCAUCGAAUCUUUGAACGCACAUUGCGCCCCUUGGUAUUCCGAGGGGCAUGCCUGUUCGAGCGUCAUUUCAACCCUCAAGCUCUGCUUGGUCUUGGGCCUGGCCGUGAUGGCCGGUCUUAAAAUCAGUGGCGGUGCCGUCGCAUGCUCCAAGCGUAGUACAUCUCUCGCUCUGGAAACUUGGCGGUGCCUGCCAGACAACCCCUAAUUGUCUCUUUCGGUUGACCUCGGAUCAGGUAGGGAUACCCGCUGAACUUAAGCAUAUCAAUAAGCGGAGGA
rnacentral:misc_RNA from 1 species